rnacentral:rRNA from 1 species
GACGAACGCUGGCGGCGUACUUAACACAUGCAAGUCGAACGGAAGGGCCCUGCUUUUGUGGGGUGCUCGAGUGGCGAACGGGUGAGUAACACGUGAGUAACCUGCCCUUGACUUUGGGAUAACUUCAGGAAACUGGGGCUAAUAUCGGAUAGGAGCUCCUGCUGCAUGGUGGGGGUUGGAAAGUUUCGGCGGUUGGGGAUGGACUCGCGGCUUAUCAGCUUGUUGGUGGGGUAGUGGCUUACCAAGGCUUUGACGGGUAGCCGGCCUGAGAGGGUGACCGGCCACAUUGGGACUGAGAUACGGCCCAGACUCCUACGGGAGGCAGCAGUGGGGAAUAUUGCACAAUGGGCGGAAGCCUGAUGCAGCAACGCCGCGUGCGGGAUGACGGCCUUCGGGUUGUAAACCGCUUUCGCCUGUGACGAAGCGUGAGUGACGGUAAUGGGUAAAGAAGCACCGGCUAACUACGUG